GGAAUGAUCCGUGAAUGCGGUCUAGGACCGGCAUCAAGGCAAGUAAUAAGACGAAUUGACCCCUGGUAAACUUGAUGAAUAGACGCGCAAUGUCACUAACCGGAAAGGAAUGAUUACCGUAAAGUAUGGAUAAUGAAUCAAUGGAAUUUACUUCCGUCAGGUACGUAUAAAAAGGGUUGUAACUUUAGUAUGAGGUUAUGACUCGACU
rnacentral:lncRNA from 1 species